UUUUGCAAUUCUGGAUUAGGAUUAUGAAUAGAGUACCUUUUGCUGUACUGUCUGAAUUACAUAUGAGUGUUAUUUAUUUAUUGUAGUCUGUCAUGAUUCGUAUCCUGUUCACAAUUUUUCUUGAUACUUUGUGAAAAACGUGGUCUUUUGGGAGUAGUGAAGUAGGAAGCUUUUGAUUUAGUCUGUAGAUAGAUUUUGGAGUGGAUUCGAUGAUUGAGACUUUGUUAUGGAGCAUAAUGGCAGGUUGCUUGGACACAAUGGCAGGUUGCACUCUGUAGUUAUUUUCGGGAAUUAGGAAAUCUGAGCUUUACGUAUGUUGAUGGUUUUUGUGUAUUGGAUCCAUGUAUGUUAUGGAAGAGAGCCAGAGAGGGGUUGAUUUGAGGAUGGUAGAUUACUAAAUUGUGCUGAGAAGAAAGGUUUGGGUGAAAUAGCUUAUUUCUUUUAUCAGCUGACUCUUGUUGAGAAGAAAGGUUCCUGAGUUUUGUGUGUUCCGAAGGUGGUGUGAAGGUAGUGGUGUCAACAUCUUUGGGUUAAUUUGAUUUGAUGUAUUAGUGUGACAGGAAAUAUAUUGAAGUGACUACUUACAGUUUUGUUGAUUUACAUUCUUGGAGGAGUAUACAUUUAUGUGACUAGAGUAGUUAGGGCUUUUGAGGUUCUAGGGCAUCUGCUUAUUUUCUGGUUCAUGGAAAGUUAUAUUUUGAAAGUUCAAAUAAUGCUUGAAGUAAUUCUUGUGAAGCGUUGUUUAUGUUAAAUUUGGAGAGAAGUAAGAGAAUUUAAGUUUAUUAUGUUUUAUUGUUUUUGUUCUCUCUGAUUUUUUGGGUCAAAAUGAUGAGAGGUGUUGACUGAAGGAGUGAGUUUAUGGUGAGAACCCUGUGUAGUUGGGGACUUUGUGAUACCUUAAGCCUAUGGGAUCUUUUGAAUGGAAAUCGAGAUUACAUUAGUGGAUAAGAUGCACAAAGUUGGAAGUUGUAUAAUAAGUUUGAGGGAUUUUUUACUGUAUGAAUUAUAGUGUAUAACUCGAUAACUCUGCCAGGAAAUGUGCAACGGUCUAUUGGAAAAGACUUAUGUAGAUUGUCUUUUAAAGGUUCUAGGUUGUUGUGCUUUGCGUAUUCUAAAGCUAUGAGUGGAGGACCUUUUUUUGCAUAUUAAGAGAAUCGAAAUAGCUAAGUUAUAGACUCGACAAUUCUGCACGGAAAUGUGCAACGGUCUAUUGGAAAAGGCUUAUGUAGAUCAACUGUCGUAUGAAGGAACUAGGUGGUUGUGUUUUGCGUAUUCUAACGGUAUGAGUAGAAGAUCUUUUUGCAUAUUAAGAGAAUCCGAAUUGUUAAGUUAUGUUUGUUGUUAAGGUAGUGUUCAGUAGGUUACGAUUUUUGGUUUAAUUUGAUUAUAGGUUUCCUUCUGUCCGGAAUUAUAUUGGAGUGACAAGUGACAUUUAUAUUAAUUUAUAUUUUUAAGGGAUUUAUUUAUGUUGUGAGAGAAGAUGGUGCUUUGGAGGUUCCAAGAGCUUUAUUUAUUUUGUGGUUUAUAGAAAGUCUAUUUCGAAAGUUGAAAUCAUACUUGGAGAAAAGAUGGUUUGAGGUUCUAGGAGCUCUGUUUAUUUUGUGCAUGGUUUACAGAAAGUCUAUUUUGAAAGAUGAAAGCAUACUUGGAGAAAAUCUUUGGGAGGUCUUUUAUUUUAGACCACUUUUGAUAGCAAUGUCGGAAGAUAAGUACAUUAAGUUCUGAUGGUGUUGUUGUACAUGAUUUUUAGGGCAAAAUUAUGAGAGGUGUUGACUUAAGGAGGGAUUGUUAUAUUGUGAACAAAGUUAAAUGGAGGAGUAGAUGUGAUCAUUAUAAAUGGAAUGAGUGAAGUGAGUGCAUUGAUGGAUAGGAUAGUCCACAAGUUGGAAGUUGUACAAUAAGUUAAGGAUUUUACCCUGGAAGGAGUUCUAGGAGUUGAAUUACCUGUAGUAUAUAAUUUGUCAUUUAUGCAGAGUAAGGUGUUGUUAUAAAGGCGAUGAUGAAAAAAUAUUUCUCAUGAGCUGUCUCUUAAGGGGUAUAGGUUGAUGUGUUAUGUCUGUUCUAAAGGUAUGAGUGGAAAUGUUUUGCAGAUUAACGAAAUCGAGGUUGAUAAGUUUUGUAUGUUUUGGAGGUGGUGGGUUGUUGUUUGUUUUAAAAUCUUUAGGUUAUUUGAUUUGUGGUAUCACUUUGACAAGAGAUUAUUGGAGUAACUACUUACGGUUACAUUGAUUUUUUUUUUUUUUGGAGUAUUCAUUUAUGUGACGAGCGUAGAUAUGGCUCUUGAGGUUCUAUUGUUUCUGGCUUAUGGAAAGUUCUAUUUUGAAAAUUCAAAGCAUACUGGGGAGUGAGCACGUCGUUUAUUUUAGACCAUUUUUUAUAAGUUCAUUGGAAAUUUAUUUCAUUAAGUUUUGAUAAUUUUGUGUUUUAUAGGAUUGGGUUAAGAAUAUUCAAGUAUUUGACUUAAGGAGAGAGUGUUAUAUUGUGACUGGAGGAAUGUGAUAUUUUGAAUGGAAUAAAUGAAACUUGUGACUGACUAAAAUAAUGGAUAAUAUAGGUGGACAAGUUGGAAGAUUAUAGUACGAAAGUGAGUUUUACUUUUACAUUGAUUUGUAUAUUCAGUAAUACAUUUAUUAGAUGGGUCUUUUGAGGUUCUAGGGUUGUGUUCAUUUUGUAGUUUAUGUAAAAUUCCUUCUGAGAUCUUUGACUCAAAAUGAUGAGGGGUGUUGACUAUAGGAGGGAAUGUUAUAAUAUAACACGAGUAGAUGAGAUAUUUUGAGUGGAAUGAAUGAAAUGAGUGGCUAUAUUAGAUAAUAAUAGGUGAACAAGUUAAAAGUUGUAUGCUUAGUCAGGAUUUUGCUCUGAAAGGACAAUACAGAGUAGUAAGGUGCUGCUAUGAACUUCUUUGGAUUAUAUUAACCGUCUUUUGAGGAGAACCUAUUCUGCUUAGUUUCUGAUGUUCCUGAGGUAUAAGUGGAAAAGCCUUUUGCAGUAAGGGGAAUCCGGGUUGCUAAGUUUGUGUGUUUAAGGUGGUGUAGUAGUUGUAUUAUGGUCUUUGGGUUUAUUUGAUUUUAAGUUCCGGUUUUACAGGAAUAUGAUGAUUAAGGUGGUGUAGUAGUUGUGUUAACUUUGGGUUUAUUUGAUUUUAAGUUCCGGUUUUACCGGAAUAUGAUGAUUGUUUUGAGAGAUGAAAGAACAAAGUUGUGCUAAAUUUUGUCGUACCCUAUGUGCGCGAGGGCGGGGUUCACAAAUCUACUAGUUGGGAUAUUUAUUUUUCAGUAAACAAAUUGGAUAAAAUGUCAUUUUCAAGCUGGGAUAUCUUUUGAAGUGACCUUACAUUUUUAUUGAUUCGUAAUAUUCAAGAAUGCAUUUGCAUUGAGAGUAGAUGGGAUUUUGAAGGUCUAUGGGCUGCAUUAAGAUUUUGUGGUUGAUGGAAAGUUCUGUUUAGAAAACUGAAGUCAUACUUGGAGAGUAUGAAGACAACUUUUAUGGCGUAGGAAACUUUUGUUAGAAAUAUGGGAAGGCAAGUACAUUUGUUUUGGUUGUUUUUGAGUGUGAUUUUGGGUUCAAAUGAUUAGAGGUGUUGGCUUAAGAAAGGAUAGUUAUGUAGAGAACACACCGUAUUUGAGGAUCUUUGAUACCUUAAUCUUUGAGAUCUUUUAACGGGGUGUAUGAAACUGUUACGUAACUAUUAUUGCCCGGUAAAUUGAGAAAUAUGCAGGAAGGAUUUAUGGGUCUUAAGUGUUAUAGUUAUACUAUACAACACCAUAGGCAGAUAAUUUUGGCAUGUGCUAUAUAUUUUAUAAGGUUUGAGGGGAAUGAUCAUGUUGUAAAGUCAUGGACUUCUAAAGGGAAUCCAGGACUUCUAAAGGGAAUCGAGGUUACAGAGUUUUGUAUGUUCUUAAGGCACGAGUGGAAAAACAUUCUGUUGCAAAUUAUAAGAAUGCUUAUUUUUUAAUGUUCUGAAGGUGUGGAAAGUAACUGUGUUAAGAUCGUAGGGAUAUUGAUUUGAGGCAUCAAUUUGACAUGAAAUAUUUUGGAGUAACAAACUCACAACUUACAGGUAUGAGUGGAUAACUUUUUGGCAGAUUAUAAGAAUGUGGGUUGUUCAGUUCUAUGUGCUAUGAAGGUGUGGGAAGUUGUGUUAGGAUCUUUGGGAUUAUUGAUUUGAGUCCUCAGCUUGACAAGAAAUAUUCUGGAGUGACAAACUGACAGUUACAUUUAUGUUGAUUUAUAUUUUUGGAGUAUACAUCUAAGUUACGAGAGUAAUGGGGCUUUGAGGUUCUAGGGGCAUUUCCUAAGUUCUGUGUGUUUUUAAGGUGGUGUUUAGUAGUUUUUUAAAGAUCUUCGGGUUUAUUUAUUACAGGCUUUGGACUGACGGGAACUUGGAGUGACUACUUAAAUUUAUGUUAUUUUCAAGAUAUAUUUAUGUUGUGGAAGUAAAUGGCGCAUUGGAGGUUCUUAGGACCGCUGUUUACAAAAGAUGAAAUCAUACUUGGUGUAUCUCUUUGAGACGUCGUUUGUUUUAGACUACCUCCGAGUGGAAUUUUGGAAGUUAACUUCAUUAAGUUCUAAUGGUUUUUAUUGAACAUAAUUUUUGGGUCAAAAUUAUGGGAGGUGUUGACUUAAAGAGAGAAUGUUAAAGAAUAAAAUUAUGGGAGGUGUUGACUUAAAGAGAGAAUGUUAAAGAUGAGAUUUUCUGAAUGUAAUGAACUAAACUGGUGUCUCUUUAUCAAAGAACUAAUAUCACAGGUCUCUCUAUUAUUUCUCAGAAUUCCUUUUGGGUAAGAAUCGAACCUUAUUAAUGGAUAGUAUAUAUGCACAAGUUAGAACUUAGUAAAUUGACGAUCUUAUUCCAGAAGGAGUUUUAACACUUAGUGUUUUAGAUAUAGUAUAUAAUAUGUUAAGGGUGCCAGGUUAGAGGCUAUUAUAAAGGUCGAGAAAGCUUGCUAAAGAUCAUCUGUCAGAGGAAUCUAGUUUGUUGUUUUGUGUGUUGGAAAGGAAUGAGUGUAAAAGUUUUUGAAGAUGAAGGGAAUUUGGGUUACUACUUUUUUAUGUUCUGAAGGUGAUGGCUAGUAAUUGUUUUAUGAUUUUUACGUUUAUUUGAUUUGAGGUAUUAUGGAUAUAUAUUGGAUUGACUACUUACUUUUGAAUUAAUUUAUAUAUUUGGAGUACAUAUUUAUGUUGUGAUUGUAAAAAGGGCUUUGAGGUUCUAGAUCUUAUGAAGAGGAUUUAUUUUAGUUAACUUUUUUGGUAGAAUAUUGGAAGUUAACUUUUUUGGAUUUAUUCUAGUUUGUUAUUUUUGUGUGCUUUUUGGGUCAAAAUGACGAGUGUGUUGAUUGUACGAGGGGAUGUUGGGUCGGGAACAUAGUGUAAUGGAGGAUUUUGUGCUACCAUCUUUGAGAUCUUUGAAAUGGAAUCAGUGACCAUGUUAAUUGAUAACAUAGGUGCACAAACUGGAUGUUGUAAAGUAAGUCAAGGAUUUGUUCCUGAAGGAUUUAUGGGUCUUAAGUGUAUUUAGGUAACGUGUGUAUCUUGAUUAUUACAAGUAAUGUCGUACCUUAAAGGUUUUAGUGGAAAAAGCUAGUCGUAGAUUAACUCACUUUUAACAAGAAUAUGGUUGCCGAGUUUUGUCUGUUGUUAAGGUAAGAAUCCAGAAAGUUCAUUGAAGAUAAAUGGAAUCCAAGGCUGUUAUGUUUUGCAUGUUAUGAAGGUGGUGGGAGCAGUAGGAGCGCAAUAGUUGUGCUUAGAUCAUUAGGCUGUAUUAAUUGGGGGUUUCUGUUUGACAGGAAUAUGAUGGUUUGUUUGAGAUAUCAAAAAAUUGUUUCUUUUGCUAAAUCUUGCCUUAGACUAACCGUCAGAUUAAAAAAUUACUUAUUGGGAUGUCCAACUUAUACCACGCUCUUCCACAAACAAACUCUUGUAGGAUGAAAGUUUCGGUUACAAGAGGAGGAUUAUUUUGGAGUGACCACUUACAUUUUUGUUGAUUUGUACUUUUGAGGAUGCUUUUAUGUUGGGGAGUAGAUGGGGUUUGAGGUUCUAGGGGUUGUAUUAAUUUUAUGGUUAAAGAAAUGUUCUGUUUUCAAAACUGAAACCAUAUUUGGAGUAAAAGAUGUGAGGCAUCUUUUGUAACAGGCAACUUUUGAGGAGAACAUGGGAAGCCAGAAUUCAUUUUAGUAUGGGAAGGCAAGUACUUAUGUUUUGGCAGUUUUUGUGUGUGAUUUUGGGUCCAAAUGAUUCAGAGGUGUGGGCUUAAGAAAGGAUAGUUAUGUGGAGAACACUCCGUAUUCGAGGAUUUUUUUUUAUUGGACUGGAUGAAAUCUUUUACGUAGUGCUAUUAUUGCUUGGUAAACUGAGAAAUAUUCUGGAAGGAUUUAUGGGUCUUCAGUGUUAAUAAUUAUAUUGUACAACACCAUGUCCAGAUAAUUUUGGCAUGGGCUAUUUAUUUUACGAGGUUUGAUGGAAAGAUCUUGUUGUAAAUUCACGGACUUCUCAAGGAAAUCUAGGUAGCUGUCUUUUGAGUGUUCUAAUGGUGUGAUACUCUGAGUGGAAGAUCUUUUUGCAGAUUGACUUCUAAAGGGAAUCUAGGUUACAGAGUUUUGUAUGUUCUAAAUGCACGAGUGGGAAGACAAGGAAGACAUUUUCUUUGCAGAUAAUAAGAAUUUUGGGUUGCUUAGUUUUGAAUGUUUUAAAGGGGUGGGAAGUAACCGUGUUAAGAUCUCUUUGGAAUUACUGAUUUGAGGCAUCAAUUUGACAUAAAAUAUUUUGGAGUGACAAACUCAUAACUUACUGGUAUUAGUGGAUAACCUUUUCGCAGAUCAUAAAACUUGGGUUGCUUAGUUUUGUGUGUUAUGAAGGUGUGCGAAGUUGUGUUAAGGUCUUUGGGAUUAUUGAUUCGAGGCAGCAGCUUGACAAGAAAUAUUCUGGUGUGACAAUCUGACGGCUAACAUUUAUGUUGAUUUAUAUUUUUGGAGUAUACAUGUACGUUACGAGAGUAGAUGGGGCUUUGAGGUUCUAGGGCUGUUGCUAAAUUUUAUGUAUGAAGGUGGUGUUUAGUAGUUUCUUCUAAGAUCUUUGGGUUUAUUUUAUUACAGGCUGCGGACUGACAAGAACUUCGAGUGACUACUUAAAUUUAUAUACUUCAUUAUUUUAUAUUAUUUUCAAAAUAUUGUUGUGGAAGUAAAUGGCUCUUUGGAGGUUUUUAGGAGCGUUUUCGAAUGAUAAAAUCAUACUUGGUGUAUGUCUUUGGGACUUCGUUUGUUUUAGACUACUCUAAUUAAGUUCAUUAAGUUUUAAUAAUUUAUAUUGAACGUAAUUUUUGGGUCAAAAUUGUGAGAGGUGUUGACUUAAGUAGAGAAUGUUAUAGAAUAAAGUUGAAUGGAGAAGUAGAUGAGAUCUUCUGAAUGGAAUGAACUAAACAGGUGUCUCUUCAUCGAAGAACUAGUAUUACAGGUCUGUAUAAUUUCUCAUAAUUUCUUUUGGGUAUGAAUCAGAGCUUAUUAAUCGAUAGUAUACAUGCACAAGUUAGAAGUUAGUAAGUUGAUGAUCUUAUUCGUGAAGGCUUUUAUAAAGCUUGAGAAAGCUUGCCAAAGAUUAACUGUUGUUUCAAAAGAAUCUAGGUUGUUGUUUUGUGUAUUCAAAAGGUAGGAGUGGAAAAGCUUUUGAAGAUUAAGGGUAUUUGGGUUGCUAAGUUUUCUAUGUUCGAAGGUGGUGGCUAGUAAUUGUUUUAAGAUUCUUGCAUUUAUUUGAUUUGAGGUAUUAGUUUGACGGGAGACAUAUUGGAUCGGCUACUUUCAUUUAUAUUGAUUUAUAGUAGAAGGCGUUUUUGAGGUUCUAGGGGCUAUUUAGUUUGUGUCCUACGGGAUUUACUUUUUCUUCUCAAGAUUGAAAUCAUACCUUGGAGAGUUGGAGGUAGAUCUUAUAAAGAAGAUUUAUUUUAGUUAAUUUUUAGGAAGGUAUCUAUGUUUUAAAGGUUUUUAUUUUGUGUGGUUUUUGGGUCAAAAUGAGGAGUGUUUUGACCGUACGAGGGGACGUUGGGUCGGGACACAGUGUAAUAGAGGAUUUUGUGUUUCCAUCUUUGCGAUCUGUUGAAUGGAAUUAGUGACCAUAUUAAUUGAUAAUUUAGGGCACAAACUGGAUGUUGUAAAUUUAGUCGAGGAUUUGUUCCUGAAGAACUUGCGGGUCUCAAGUGUUUUAGGUAAUGUGUAUAUCUUGAUUAUUCCGUCAAGUUAUGUCCCUACCUUAGUGGAUAAAGCUAGUCGUGGAUUAACUGACUUUUAACGAGUAUGUGGGUUGCUGAGUUUUUUUUGUUGUAAAGGUAAGAAUGGGGCAAUCUUUUUGAAGAUUAAUGGAAUCCAAUGCUGCUAUAUUUUGCAUGUUAUGAAGGCGGUGGGAGCAGUAGUUGUGUUUAGAUCAUUAGGUUGUAUUAAUUAGAGGUUUCUGUUUGACAUGAAUAUGAUGGUUUGUUUUAGAUAUCAAAAAGUUGUUUCUUUUGCUAAAUGUUGUCUUAGACUGACCAUGGGAUUAAAAAAAUACUUAUUGGGAUGCCCAAGUUAUACCACACUCUUCCAUAGACAAACUAACGGGGUGAAAGUUUCAGUUACAAGUGGAGGAUUACUUUGGAGUUGCCACUUACAUUUUUAUUGAUUUGUACUUUUUGAGGACACUUUUAUGUUUUGGAAGUAGAUGGGGAUUUUGAGGUUCCUUGGGGUUGUAUUAAUUUUAUGGUUAAAGAAAUGUUCUGUUUUCAAAACUAAAACCAUACUUGGGAGUAAAACAUGUGAGGCAACUUUUGAGGAGAACAUGAGAAGCCAAAAUUCAUUUGUUUUGGUAGUUUUUAUCGUGUGAUUUGUGUGCCUAAAUGAGGAUAAGUGUUGACUUAAGGUGGGAAUUUCUGUUGUGAACACAAUUGAGGAUUUUAUGAUACCAUCUUUGAGAAACCGUGACCAUAUAAUUGAUAAUAUAUAGGUGCACAAGCUGGAAGUUGGGUAGUAACAUUAGUAAAGUCGAGAGUAUAUUUUGGGAUGAUUUAUAGGUCUAGUAUGUUUUAGUCAAUGUGUUACUUGAUUAUGUCGAGUGAUGUGAAAUCUGAAAGGUUUAGUGUAUCUGGGUUGUUGAUCUUAUGUGUUAAAGUUAUGUGUGGAAAAGAGUUUUGAAGAUUUAGGGAAUCUGGAUUGCUACGUUUUGCAUGUUAAUGAAGGUGGAUGGAAGUUGUGUUGUUAUGGUGUUUGGAUUUAUUUGGUUAGAGGUUUCAGUUUGACAUGAAUUUGUGUGGACUGUGGAGUUAAUCUUGUGUAACAUUGUUUAUUUUAGAAACUAUGGAGAGGAAUACGGAAAGUCAAGUUCAUUAUGUUUUGAUGGUUUUUAUGUAUGAAGGGUGCUCGCGUAUGGAGCAAUUGGAUGUUACUAUAGUGAACACAAUUUAAUGAAGGAGUUUGUGAUACCUGAAGCUAUGUAACUUUUGAAUAGGAGUGUUAUAUUCUGGAAGGGUGUAGUGUGUAACAUUAUUGGAGUGACCACUUAUAACAGUGGUUUUUGCCUUUCGUGGAUACAUUAAUGAUGCGGUGAGAUAAGAUAUGGCGUUUGAGAUUCUAUGGUCUUUGUUUAUUUGGUGGUUUAUGGGAAAAUCUAUUUUGAUGAGUGAAAUCUUGAGGUAACUCUUGUGAGACGUUUAUCUUAUCCAAUUUUGAGAGGAAUAACAGAAGUGAAGUUCAAUAUGUAUUGAUUGUUUUUGUAGUAUGUUUUUUGAUCAAAAUGAUGAUUGUUGUUGUCUUAAGGAGGGAAUGUUAUAUUGCGAAUGGAAACAUGAUUGAGGAGUAGAUGAGAUCUUUUGAAUGGAGACUAUGUAAAUGGAUAAUAUAGGUGAACAAGUAGGAACAAGUAAGGUGAUAUUAACAAGGUCUUAGUGGAAAAAGAAGGCUAUGAAAUAAUUAUCUUUUGUGGAAUCUAAGGUGCUAAGUUUGGUAUGUUCUAAAGGUAUGAGUGGAAAAGCUUUUUGCUGAUAUGGGAAUUUGAGUUUGCUAAGAUUUUUUUUGUUCCGAAGGUGGGUAUAGUUGUGUUGGAUCUGAGGGUUAAUCUGAUUUUAGUUUCACAUGAAAUACGAUUAUUCGAUAGAGAGAUAAAGGAACAAAAGUUGUGCUAAAUGCUAAAUGUUUUCGUAGCCUAAUGUGUGGGGUGUAUAAUUUACUUAUUGGGAUACCCAACUUUAUACUUCCCUUCCCUAAACUCAGUUUCGAUAAAUUUUUCGGUUUCAAGUUGAGAAUUCUUUUGGAGCUACCCACUUCCAUUUCUAUUAAGUUGUAGCUUUGGAGGUUGCAUUUAUGUUGCAAGAGUAGAUGAACUUUUGAGGAUUUAGGGGAUGUGUUAAUAUUGUGGUUCAUGGAAACUGAAAUCAUACUUGGAGUAAUCUUAUGAGACACCUUAAUGGCAGGAAACUUUUAAAAGAAAUAUGGGAAGGGAACUACAUUACAUUUGUUAAGUACAUUUGUUCUGGUGAUGGUUGUGUUGAUUUUUGGGUCUAAAUGAUGAGAGGUGUUGACUUGAGGAGGAAUUGUUUCUUUGAGAACACAACUUAAUGAAGGAUUUGGUGAUACCUUAAUCUUUGAGAUAUUUUGAAUGGAAUAAACGAAAUUGGUGACUAUAUUAAUGGAUAAUAUAGGUUGAACAAGCUGAGAAAUAUUCUGGAAGUAUUUAGAGGUCAUAACUAGCUGUUGUUUUAUGUAUUAUUACUUGAUAAGUGUUCCGAGUAAUAUGCUUCCGUAAAAGUUUGAGGGAGAAAAAUUCUUGUUGUAGAUUAACCAACUUCUGAAAGAAAGCCAGCAGGUUUGUGUGUGUGUUUGUGUGUGUGUGUGUUUGUGUGUGUGUGUUCUAGAAGUAGGAGUGGAAAACCUUUUUGCAGAGUAAGAAAAUCUGAAUUAAAUUUUGUAUGUUCUGAAGGUUGUGGGAGUAGUUGGCAUUAUGAUCUUUUUUGAGCUUAUUUCAUUAGAGGUAUCAGAGUUACGAGUAAUUUUUUUUUUGAGGAUACAUUAAAUGUGGCAAUGUUUAUUUUGUGGUUUAUGAAAGUUACUACUACUAUAAUUGAAAUCAUGUUUGGAGAAAAUCCUAUGAGUCGUCGUUACGUUAUGAGAUCUUUUGAAUAGAAAUGUAAAAUGAAUAUGGGAAGUUAAGGUAAUUAUAAUUUGAUGGUUUCUCUUGUUUGCAUUUUUUUUAUUCAAAAUGAUAAGAGGUGUUGACUUAAAGAUGGAGGCUAUAAAAUGCACAAUUGAAGGGAGAAAUUUGUGAUAUGCUAAGCUAUGGGAUCUUAGUUUGUGACUAUAUCAAUGUAUAAGGUGCCUAAGUUGGGUUUAUAGUGUAUGACUUGAUACGUUUUUCAAGAAGUGUGAUAUUUUAACAGUUUGAGUGGAAGAAGUUUCUUGUAGAUUAACCAACUCCGAAAGGAAAUUUACGCUAGUCUGGUUUUAUGUGUUGUGAAGUAUGAAUGGGAAACCUUUUUGUAGUUUAAAGGGAUUCAGAUUGGUAUGCUUUUUCUGUUCUGAAAGUGGGGGCAGUAGUUGUGUUAUGAUCUUUGGGUUUAUAUAUAUGAUUUUGAGGUUUCAGAUUGAAGGCAGUUAAUUGGAGUGGGUCCACCUACAUUUGAUUGAUUUAUUUAUUUGAGGAUACAUAUAUGGUGUGAUGGGCCUUUUAGGACUGUGUUCAUUUUGUGGUAUUGGAAAAUUCUAAGUUGAUGAUUGAAAUCAUACUCUGAGUAUAUAUUGUGGGACUUCGUCUAUCUUUAUCCACCCGAGAGGAAUAUGGCAAGUUCAGUUUAUUAUGAAUUGAUGGUGUUUGUUGUGUGUGUGUUGUGGAUCAAAAUGGCGAGAGUUAUGGACUUAAGGAGGGAAUGUUAAAUGCGAACAUAAUGUAAUUGAGGAGUAGUUGAGGUCUUUUGAAUGGAAUGAAUGAAAUGGGCAACUAUAUUAAUAGAUUGAAUGUGCACAAAUUGGAAGUUCUUAGGUAAGUCGAGGAUUUUAUUCUGGAAGUAUUUAUAUGUAUCAAGUGCUUUAGUUAUAGUGUAUGAUAUAGUUAUUAUGACAUGUAGGUGCUAUUAAGAAGGUCUUAGUGUGUAUUAUCUUUUGUUAGGAAGUAUGAGUGGAAAAGCUUUUUGUAGAUUAAGGGAAUCUGCGUUGUUAAGUUUUGUGUGAUCUGAAGGUAUGAGAUCAAAAGCUUUUUGCUAAUGACGUGAAUCUGGAUUUCUAAGUUAAGGUAGGUGUGCGUGUUGGUGUAUUUGGUUUAAAUUUUCAGUUUGACAGGAAUAUCAGGUUUUGUUUUGAGGUCAAGUUAAAUUUUUAGCUAUAAAUUUUAUCAUAGCCUGAUGUGCAGGAUUCAUUAACUUACUUAUUGGGAUAUCCAACUUUAUGCCCCACCAUUCCCCAUAAGAAAACUCAAAUUGGAUAAAAAUUACAGUUCCAAGAGAAGGGUUUUCGGUUUUGAUGUAUUUGGUGUGAACAGUUAUAUUAUUGAUCUAUAGCUUUUGAGGAUGCUUUUAUGUGGUGAGAGUAGAUGGGGAUUUGUGUUUCUAGGGGUUGUCCUAAUUUUGUGGUUAACGGAAAGUUUUGUAGUGAGAAUUUUAAUCAUCCUCUGAAGACAUCUUUUCUGUCACAUAAAUUCUUAGAGGAAUGUCAAGUACAUUUUUUUAAUGGUGGUGGUGUAUUUCUUUUGGGGGGAUCAAAAUUUCGUUUAGAACACUUCGUAAUGCAAGAUUUUGUGGUACCUCAAUCUUUGAGAUCUUUAGGGAGGAGUGACGGAUCGUAUUAAUUGAUAAUAUAGGUUCACAAGUUGGAAGUUGGAGUAUUCGUUUAUACUUCCAUCAAUUUAUGGCUUUUGAGGUUCGUGAGGCUUGUUUGUUACUCCCUUUGUCCCUUAAUACUCGCACCGUUUUGACUGGACACGCUUGCCAAUACACAAUUUUGACCACCAAUAUCUUUAACUACAUAUUAUAAAAAUUUAUAUAAAUAUGAAUAGUGCAAAAAGUCAAAACGGUGAAAGUAUUAAGGGACAGAGGGAGUAUUUUUUUUUUAUGGGAAGUUCUUCUUUGGAAGCAAACUUGGGGUAAUCAUGUGAAGACAUCCUUUAUAUUAGGCAACUUUUGAGAGGGAUAUGGGAAGCCAAGUGCAUUAUGGGUUGACUGUUGUUAUUGUGCAGUUAUCAUGUUAUUUAUACCAAGUAUUGUGCUAUAAAUUUGGGAGUGGAAAAGGCUUUUCCAGAUUAAGUGGUCUGAGCUGCAUUAUUUUGUGCUAAUUGUUUUUGUAGCAGACAGUGCGGUGUUCAUAAAAUCACUUAGGAUGUCAAUUUUUGUGAAAAACUCAACUUUGAUGAGAAGCUCAGUUCCAAUCAGAUUCUUUUGAAGUGUCGGCUCUUAUAUUGAUUUGUAGGUUUCAAGAACAAUUCUAUGUUGUGAGAACAGAUGGAUCCAUGAGAGUUUAUCAUUCUACUGGUUGUGUUUUAUGUGGUUUGCUAGUUCCUAUUGAAGGCAUACUCCGAAAAUUCUUGUGAAGACUUCAUUAAUAUUAGCAACAUUUGAGAAAAAUAUGGGAAGGCAAAUUCAUCAUGUAUUGAUGAUUGUUAUUUUGUUUGAUUUGUAGGUUUCAUAAUAGGUGUUAAUGUUAUGUUGAGAACAAAAUGGGGGAUUUUGUAAUACCUUAACAUCUAUGAGAUCUUUGAAUGGAAACCUAUGAUUGAAAUGAGGGACUACAUCUACGUACAUUCAUAUUAUAGGUGCUAGAGUUGAAAGUUAUAUAGUUAGUUGACGAUUUAAUUUUUUAUGCCAAGUGUACGGGUGUGCUACCAGCUGGCUGGUAGCAUCCCCAACCAGUUAAGGAUAAUAGCCAAUAAUCCUUAACGACAGCUAUUAUUCCCUACCAGCAUCUCUUGAAAGCCGGUAGGGAGGCAGCACGUGAUCAAUCAAGAAGUCAACGGGUCACUAUCAAUCGGGUAGGACCCAUUUGUCCGUACGCCCGACCCGCGCCUAUAUAUAUGAGCUUCAUUUAUUACAAAAGGUACGCAAUCACAAUCAUUCACCAAACCUAAAAUACUUAUUACUUACCAUACCUGACUUUAGCAUCGGAGGGGGAUCCUCGAAUCACCCUCGAGGCUAGUUCAUCUUUGUUAUCUGCGCAGGAUAUCAUCAGGAUAACAACAAUACACGAUCAGCAAGACCUCUCCAACCGUUUCCAAUUCUUACAGGAACACCAAGUAAUGAUUCAUUUUAAAGGCUCGACUGGAUUUUAUAGAGGAAAUCUUGGUUGAUAGACUAUGUGUGUUAUGAGUGGAAAAGGUUGUCGCUAGAGGGUAUGCUGGUCAGUUGGUUUCAUCAUGAGAAGAUUAUGAUAGGUACUUGUAAUAGGUCAUGUAGUAGUUAUCAAAGAGGUGAAUGUUGUAACCAAAUGUGUGGAAUAUUGGUGCCGAAAACAUUACUUAUUGGGCUCAAAUUGCUCUUAUUUAGACUCGCUAAUUCUUGUGUGAAUGA